CCUACGGGAGGCAGCAGUGGGGAAUUUUGGACAAUGGGCGAAAGCCUGAUCCAGCAAUGCCGCGUGAGUGAAGAAGGCCUUCGGGUUGUAAAGCUCUUUUGUCAGGGAAGAAACGGUGUGGGCUAAUAUCCUGCACUAAUGACGGUACCUGAAGAAUAAGCACCGGCUAACUACGUGCCAGCAGCCGCGGUAAUACGUAGGGUGCAAGCGUUAAUCGGAAUUACUGGGCGUAAAGCGUGCGCAGGCGGUUUUGUAAGUCUGUCGUGAAAUCCCCGGGCUCAACCUGGGAAUUGCGAUGGAGACUGCAAGGCUAGAAUCUGGCAGAGGGGGGUAGAAUUCCACGUGUAGCAGUGAAAUGCGUAGAGAUGUGGAGGAACACCGAUGGCGAAGGCAGCCCCCUGGGUCAAGAUUGACGCUCAUGCACGAAAGCGUGGGGAGCAAACAGGAUUAGAUACCCUGGUAGUCCACGCCCUAAACGAUGUCUACUAGUUGUCGGGUUUUAAUUAACUUGGUAACGCAGCUAACGCGUGAAGUAGACCGCCUGGGGAGUACGGUCGCAAGAUUAAAACNCAAAUGAAAUUGACCGG
rnacentral:rRNA from 1 species